GCAGUGGAUUAUCCAGGCGACAAUUAGAUAGUGUUCUUGUCGAGUCUAUCUAGACCAGCUUGAAAAACAUAGAUGGGUAGUGGUCUUAAUUCGAAGUAGGCACGAGACAAGCAACAUGGCCUCUUUCAGAUGAUCGUUAAACAGCCCACCGGUUCUAAAUCAUUAACUUCUGAUAAAGAAACCAUUUCUCUAGAAAUGUAGACUAACUAACAAGCAUUACUGGGCUGUGAGAUGUUCUAAGAAAUAGCGUCGUUGAGUUUAAGGUGGCUGGAAAAGAUCCACGUGGACUCCACCUAGACGGCGCAGUCUACACUAACUCAUCCGACUGGCUCUGUACAAAUACUACAGGUGUAUAACUUUGUUCGUGCCGAGGGAGUGACAAAAGACUCCUGUAUCUUCUAAGAAAACACACUGCAGCGAUACUGAGUACUUUAGACAAUCCUGUGAGUUGCCCAAGGAAAACGAACGACAGAUAUCAGAUAAUGUUAGAACAGGAAGGAAACAUCCAUGUCAGUCUGCGCAGUCUAUUUUGUUUCAACAAGGAAACAAUGAAACCUGUCAUAGCUUUUCUGAUUUAGUACGCGUCAAACUCAACGACUAAGUCUGAUGUAAGCGGUCGGAUGUCGUUUUUAGAUUUGAAGUAAGUCGUUACAGGACGUUAAAAAAAAGUAUUAUACCAGGUUAAACCUUAAAUAAUAAAUUCACAUGGGCCAAUUGCAUAUGAUCCACGUAAGUAGAAUAUUAGUAGGGCAAUGUCAUAGAGGGCAAUGUCAUAGAAAGAAUCAGUAAUGGUUCUUUCUAUUACCUGCAUUAAUUUUUUUCUGCAGACAAAAAAGUUGUUUGUGUUACGCUUACCCUCGUAACAUUAAAACCUUUCUACGUUUGAUGUUUUACGUCCGGUAUCGCCGUUAGGCAUUGUCAGACGGAUGGCUCUCAGCACGAAGCCCAUCUGUGCUCGGCUCUGAACCCAGUCCCAGAAGAUUAUGGCACUAUAUCUUCUAGCCUGAUGGUUGGGAUUGUCCCCUAAAUGAGCAAGGCUACUACUUCAUACAAGACUAGACGUGAUUUCGAAAUCAUCCCUGUAGGAUGAAUUUUUCAGGAAGUUCCUCGUGGUAUAAUUGCGCUUAAUUAUUACUAAAGAGGAACAGGACUAUCACAUACUACUAGAUAUAACUGGUAUUAAAAAUUCAGCUCUUUAGCUCUUUCAAGCCAAACAGUCGAUCUGAUUUUCUGUUUUCCCGUAGAUUUCCUGUAUUAUUUUAAAACCUUUCUUUUUCUAAGUAUUUUUUUGACCUUUAGGAAAGCUUUUCGGGGCUAGAGAUUUAAAUUUAAUCUUGAGUGGCCUAAGUUCGAACCCGGUAUGGAAAGGCUUCGUUUCGUGCUGAGAGUUAACCAACCGUCUGAUGAAAUGCGUAACGACGA